AUUUUUCUUUUCUGUUUGCAGGAAGAAGAUUUGGUGUUGAUAGAGGAGGCAACAUCUUCAAGGCAAAACCUUAGACCUGAUGCAACAUCAUCCAAUGUUGCAAUCACCCUCAGGAGGCACUUGAAGACCAGUGUCCAAUAUGCACAGGAACAUUUCCAGUGUCAGAAGUAGAACUGCCAUGCCAGCUUUUGUGGAGAAAG